rnacentral:rRNA from 1 species
GAAUUCGCCCUUAGAGUUUGAUCCUGGCUCAGGACGAACGCUGGCGGCGCGCCUAACACAUGCAAGUCGAACGGAGCUGAGAGGAGCUUGCUUUUCUUAGCUUAGUGGCGAACGGGUGAGUAACGCGUGAGUAACCUGCCCUGGAGUGGGGGACAACAGUUGGAAACGACUGCUAAUACCGCAUAAGCCCACGGCCCGGCAUCGGGCUGAGGGAAAAGGAUUUAUUCGCUUCAGGAUGGACUCGCGUCCAAUUAGCUAGUUGGUGAGGUAACGGCCCACCAAGGCGACGAUUGGUAGCCGGACUGAGAGGUUGAACGGCCACAUUGGGACUGAGACACGGCUCAGACUCCUACGGGAGGCAGCAGUGGGGGAUAUUGCACAAUGGGGGAAACCCUGAUGCAGCGACGCCGCGUGGAGGAAGAAGGUUUUCGGAUUGUAAACUCCUGUCGUUAGGGACGAUAAUGACGGUACCUAACAAGAAAGCACCGGCUAACUACGUGCCAGCAGCCGCGGUAAAACGUAGGGUGCAAGCGUUGUCCGGAAUUACUGGGUGUAAAGGGAGCGCAGGCGGACCGGCAAGUUGGAAGUGAAAACUAUGGGCUCAACCCAUAAAUUGCUUUCAAAACUGCUGGCCUUGAGUAGUGCAGAGGUAGGUGGAAUUCCCGGUGUAGCGGUGGAAUGCGUAGAUAUCGGGAGGAACACCAGUGGCGAAGGCGACCUACUGGGCACCAACUGACGCUGAGGCUCGAAAGCAUGGGUAGCAAAACCAGGGUUUAGAUACCCUGGUAGUCCAUGCCGUAAACGAUGAUUACUAGGUGUUGGAGGAUUGACCCCUUCAGUGCCGCAGUUAACACAAUAAGUAAUCCACCUGGGGAGUACGACCGCAAGGUUGAAACUCAAAGGAAUUGACGGGGGCCCGCACAAGCAGUGGAGUAUGUGGUUUAAUUCGAAGCAACGCGAAGAACCUUACCAGGUCUUGACAUCCGAUGCAUAGCGCAGAGAUGCGUGAAGUCCUUCGGGACAUCGAGACAGGUGGUGCAUGGUUGUCGUCAGCUCGUGUCGUGAGAUGUUGGGUUAAGUCCCGCAACGAGCGCAACCCUUAUUGCCAGUUACUACGCAAGAGGACUCUGGCGAGACUGCCGUUGACAAAACGGAGGAAGGUGGGGAUGACGUCAAAUCAUCAUGCCCUUUAUGACCUGGGCUACACACGUGCUACAAUGGCGUUUAACAAAGAGAAGCAAGACCGCGAGGUGGAGCAAAACUCAAAAACAACGUCUCAGUUCAGAUUGCAGGCUGCAACUCGCCUGCAUGAAGUCGGAAUUGCUAGUAAUCGCGGAUCAGCAUGCCGCGGUGAAUACGUUCCCGGGCCUUGCACACACCGCCCGUCA